rnacentral:rRNA from 1 species
UCUAUUAGUACAAUAAAUUUUUUUUGGAACAGAUUAAAUAUAUAUAUAUAUAUAAUGAAUAUAUUAAUAGGUUAUUUAUUUUGGGGUGAAAUUUAAAUUAAUGUUUUGAUAGUUUUUAUAAAAUUGAGGUCUAUAAAUUGAUUAAAAAACUAGGAUUAGAUACCCUAUUAUUUUAACUUAAGGUUUUUCUGUAUAAUUAAUAGUUAUGGUCUUUAAAGUAAUUAGAUUUGGCGGUGUUUUAUCAUAUUAGAGGAACCUGUUCUGUAAUCGAUAAUCCACGAUAAAAUUAACUAUUUUUGUAAUUUACAUAUCGUUGUUAAAAAUAUUUUUUUAGAAUAUAUUUUUAAAUUAAUUUAUAAAUAAGUUCAAAUCAAGGUGUAGUUUAUAUAAUAGUAGAGAUGGGUUACAUAUAAUUAUAAUUGUGGAUUUUUUAUUUUAAAUUUUAAUGAAAUUGGAUUUAAAAGUAAGUUUGUAUAUUUAUGUAAGUUGAAAUGGUCUAAUUAU